rnacentral:tRNA from 1 species
GAGAAUGUAGCUCAGUGGUAGAACACUUGUCUAAUAUGCAAGCAGCCCUGGGUUCAAUCCCUAGCACUGCCC